GCGAGCGGAAGCGGAAGCGGAAGCGCUGCCCCGCCCCCGCCCCCGGCCCAAGAUGGCGCCGCCCACGCCGCUGCUCGCGGUGAGAGGCUCCGAGGGGCUCUACAUGGUGAACGGGCCCCCCAAUUUCACAGAGAGCACGGCGUUCCCGAGGGACUCAGGGAAGAACUGCAGAGCCGUGGCUUUCAGCAGGGACGGCUCCCUCUUUGCCUGGUGCAACGGAGA